rnacentral:lncRNA from 1 species
AAAGAGUUUAUUGGUUCACCAUAUACUAGGCUUUGAAAGUCAUGGGUUUUAUGAAUUGUUUUUGGAUGCAUGUCUACUUUAAAGUGUUAAUAGCUUGCAUGUGUAUUCAAAUGUUCAUACUUGUUCUUAGCUAGGACAAUUUUUUUUCCUUCAAGUGGUAUCAGAGCCUAGGCCUAGUUUAUGGUGAAUCCUUUUGGGUUUUGUGACUUUCAUAUUUUGUGAUUUAAAUGUUGUAAAUGUUACAAGCUUUGUUCUUGCUUUUGAAUAUAUAAAUUUUGCUAGAAAAUUUAGCAUCUCAAAUGUUGUAGAUGUAUUUCAUUCAAGCAUGAAUAUUGGAACUAAAAUUUGGUGCCAUGUAUUUUGGGAAAUUCGGCCAAAUCCAAAGGGUGAUCUUUUGGGUUCAUGUUUGUCUUGUUAAAAUGGUUUUAAGGUGACUUUUGGAACCCCUAAGUACCCUAGGACAUUAGCCAUCUUUUGUAUAGUGAAAAUUUGAUUUUUGUUGAGUGAAAACAUUCAUGGAGCUCUUAUGAGUUUUUCAUGUUUGUUCUUCAUGUUCUUGAUGUUCUUGCCAAGAACAAAAAGUUUUGAAGUUUUGAUUUAAAGGUUUUAUGUUUUUCAUAAAGUUUUGGUUUAUUAAUUUUGUAUUAUAACUUAAGGGUGAAGAAAGGAAAAUGUCAUUAAUGUUUACAAAACAUUUUCUUACAUUUUCUUACAAGUCUUUAAAGUUUGCAAAGACUUUCUUCACCAACCAAUCCACUUGCUAAAGUGCUUUAAUCAACUUGCAAAAACUUUCAAAAUUUUCAAAAUUUUCACUUGUUCACUCCCUUUGGCCGGCCACCCUAACAAGUAGGGUACUUUUGGGCCCUUUUGUGCAAUUACGUAAAGUUUUGAUACUUUUGUGUUUUUGUAUUUUGGCCCAAAAGUUUACGUUUUUACGUUUAGGCCUAAAAACUCUAAAGGUCAAAUUGUUUUGAUCCUUUAAUGAUGUUUUUACAUUAAUAAAAUUUUGGGAUCUAGUUGUAAUUACAUGAAGUUGUGGACUAUUGUGUUUUUACAAAGUGACCCCAAAAGUUUUAGUAUUUGCAUUAUGGCCCAAUUGUUGUGGUCAUAGUUUCCUUUUGGCCCAAAUAAAAUGAGAACAAAAUUGUUUUGUCUCUUUAAUGAGAAUUGGAUUUUCAUUUCAUUUAGUUCCAUUUAAAUCAAUUCUAUGGAUCCAAAAACCAAUUGUUUAAGUUGCUUUCUUAGUUAAUGUGAUUAAUUGAGAAAAAGGGUGAUUAUGAACCAAAGGCCUCGAUAAUUGAGCUAUGUGAUUGGCCGCUUUACAUUAUGAAUGUUUGGGUUUUUGUAGUAUAGAUUUGAAUGUAAUUUGAUUAAUUCAAUUUGUUGUAAAUGGACAUAAGUCCAUCAUUUGAUUUGUGUUGUAAAAGGGCAUAAGCCCUUAUUAUUAUUUCAUGUAUUCCUUUUGUUUAUAUGUAUGCAAAUGGAAUAGUUGGGUCCUACGCCCAAUAGGAAAUAACGGUUUAAUUGGAUUAAACGCGUAACUAAAAUCAACAACUAUCUACCUUAAACCCAAGGGUCCAACACAAGGCUCGUGUUGGAUCAAAUUAAUCGGUUCAUAAUCAUCCUAAGACCUAAUAUGACUAUAUAGUCCAUAUGAGGAUGCAAUGCAUUCGUUAGUAGUUCUAUAUAGUCUCGCUUGUUUCUUCGAAAUAGUGAGAGUAUUAUAAACUACUAAUUCAUAUUUACUUGGACCAAUGGUUGUGAUAGGCCCAAGUUCUUUUAAUAUGAUUAAAAUGUUUUUGAUGUAGCCCAAAACUACUCCCUCAAAACGAAUAUUAAGUUGAUAAGCGAGAGAUGUUUAGAAUAUCUCUUCGUAGGCCUUCCACCGUGGUGGGCUCCAAGCGUUUGUGACUCAUACACCGGCUUCACCCUAUCAUGGGGAAGUACAAAGUAUGUGCUUACAUCCAGGAGGAGUCCAUAAACAUAUGAUGAGGUGAGUGUAGGCAACGAGGAUAGCCAACAUCGUAUCAUCGUGAGGCUAUUCUUGAACCCCUUCACGAACUAAGCAUGGUGGGAAUAACUUAAACUAAGUGCAAUGGUGCCAACAUCGUAUCAUCGUGAGACAACAUUCUUUAGAGGCCAAACGGAUGGGAAAUUACAAAAGUUGUAAAUGAAUAAUGCGUUAUUCUCUCAUCAUUAUUUUGCUAGCCAACAUCGUAUCAUCGUGAGGUGGGCUUGGUAAUGGUGAGUCUCCCAUAACCCACUAAGAGUUCAAUAUAACUCUCGAAUUCUAUUGAGGGAUGUGGAAUUUGCCAAAAAUAGUGGGUGGUGCUAUUUGAUUCAAAGACCCAAUCAAAUAGUUUUAAACAAACAAUCUAAUACGAUUUCUGUUAUGUUAUGUA